UGGAAGCCAUAAUGUAUAUGCAGAGGAAGU
rnacentral:piRNA from 1 species